rnacentral:rRNA from 1 species
GACGAACGCUGGCGGCGUGCUUAACACAUGCAAGUCGAACGGAAAGGCCUCUUUCGGGGGGUACUCGAGUGGCGAACGGGUGAGUAACACGUGAGUAACCUGCCCUUGACUUUGGGAUAACUUCAGGAAACUGGGGCUAAUACCGGAUAGGAGCUCCUGCUGCAUGGUGGGGGCUGGAAAGUUUCGGCGGUUGGGGAUGGACUCGCGGCUUAUCAGCUUGUUGGUGGGGUAGUGGCUUACCAAGGCUUUGACGGGUAGCCGGCCUGAGAGGGUGACCGGCCACAUUGGGACUGAGAUACGGCCCAGACUCCUACGGGAGGCAGCAGUGGGGAAUAUUGCACAAUGGGUGGAAGCCUGAUGCAGCAACGCCGUGUGCGGGAUGACGGCCUUCGGGUUGUAAACCGCUUUCGCUCAUGACGAAGCUUUGUGUGACGGUAGUGGGUAAAGAAGCACCGGCUAACUACGUG